AGGUCCGCGGUUCAUCAACCAUCCCGCGCAAAAAAACUAGGAGAAA
rnacentral:ncRNA from 1 species